rnacentral:misc_RNA from 1 species
GUUGUGGUGUGGAGGAAUAGGAUUGUUUCGAUAGGAAAGGGAAGGCUAAAAUGUUUCCAUUUAGUCUGGAGUUUAUCUGCUCUGUUCUUUUUUAUAUUAUUAUUCUUUUUUAUUUUAGGAAAGUUUAUCUGCUGUGUUAUUUAUUUGUGUUGUUGUAAAUACUGGGUGCUGAAUGAUUAUGUGUAAUUUUGUGGUCAACCUGCCUAUUCCAGUGAAGGAAGGAGGGCGUGGAAAUAAUGGUUUAAUUUUUUUAUUCAAUUACAAACUUAAGCAGCUGCAGGGCAUCCUUGUUUGCUGGAUGAAUUUUGCUCUUAAAAAUGUAUGAACCCGGAGUAUGGAAACUUUAGUUUAUCAAUUUGAUUCUUCUUCAACUUUAAUCUUCAUUUGUCUAAAUUGAGUUGCAUACUUACUUCAUUUGCCCCGGAAAGUUUUGAGCACAAUAUUUGUUGAAACAUGGUGGUUAAACAGAUAUAUAAGCAUACUGUCAUGUAGUUUCUUUUGAUAUAAUUCUCCCAGUUUACAGGUUCAUUUUCACAUGUGAGACUGUUAUAUUAAUGGAGAAUCAAAAUGAGGAACUAUGUCCUUCAUAAUGAGUGGAACUAGCAAUUAGGAAAGAAUUUACCUGGGCUUUUUGAAGAUCAACAUUAGAAAUUCCCUGAAUGCUUGCAAUUUUGAUUCAGUUUAUUUGAAAUUAGUAACAAUAUGGGUAGGUUGAGGGUAUGACUCCAAUAAACAAAUAAAGAAGCUUAACUUGGCAAAGUGCAGUAGCCUGCCACAUGGUGAUCACUGUGGUUUCUUUUUAUCUAGUGCUUCGUCAGCUGUUUUACAUUUAGUAAUUGGUGGCAAUUUUUCCUCUCAUUACUGAUAGGACCACAGCAUUUUCAACUUGCACAUUUAAAAAUCUGUGGUCUAUAGAUUUUCUGAUAGCAUAAGAUUAGAGAUUUCACACUCAAGUGUUUUGGCAGACUUUUACAGAUUGAACAUCCCUUCAAGACAUAUAAAUAUCAAGUCGGGAAAUAUUCUUUGCUGUGCUAUUCUUCAUACUCUUGCACACCAUGCUUAAGAUCCCAGAACAUCAGGUUGCAGGUCACAAAGCGAGUGAUGGACUGCUUGGCCCUCUUAUAGAUGAUUCAGGGCGCUUUUACAAGCCUCUUCAAGGUGAUGAGCGUGGCUCUAGGGAGGUGGCCUUCUACACAUCCCUCUCAUCAAAUACAAGGGUUCCAGAUCACAUCAGAAAAUUCUUUCCCAUCUUCUAUGGCACUCAAAUCUUAGAGGCAUCUGAUGGAUCUGGAUUGCGUCCCCACCUUAUCAUGCAGGAUGUUGUCUCAGGUCACUUGCAUCCAUCCAUCAUGGACAUUAAGAUUGGUUCCAGAACAUGGUAUCCCCAAGCGCCUGAGGACUAUUUCCAGCGAUGCCUUAAGAAAGAUAGAGAAACCAGCAGCUUGUCGUUGGGUUUUAGGAUAUCAGGCUUGCAGGUGCACGGCAACAAGGAGUCAGGAUUCUGGAAACCUGAGAGGAAGGCUGUCCAGAAGCUUACUGCAGAUGAGGUUACAUUGGUUCUGAGAAAGUUUGUUUCUUCCAACUCUUCUGCUGAUCCAAAUUUGGUACCUGAUAGUUUGUUUGCAUCUAGUGUUUAUGGUGGUUCUACUGGGAUUUUGGCCCAGCUAUUAGAGCUGAAGGCAUGGUUUGAAGAUCAAACCAUCUACCACUUCAAUUCUUGUUCAGUUCUGAUUGUGUAUGAAAAGGAGUCGGUUCUAAAAGGAGGGAGUUCAGGUGCUGAAGUUAAACUUAUCGACUUUGCACACGUCGUGGAAGGCAAUGGCGUUAUUGAUCAUAACUUCUUGGGCGGGAUUUGUUCUUUGAUAAAGUUUAUAUCAGAGAUUCUUACCACUCCAUAAGAAUGCUUAACCAAAAUUUGUUUGCAGGACUCUGAGAAGAGCUGUGUUUGCAAUGGGCCAGCAAAAGGGAGUGAACAGAGCAUUUACGACGCUUAAGGACUUGGGAUUACAUUACUUCUACUAGACGGGCUUUAAUUUUUUUCGCUGAGGUUGAUGAGACUGUCAGGGAAUUUGCAUCGACUUAUUGAAGAAAUUUUUCUGUGGAAUUCAUUUCAUAAUUGUAGUUUUGGCCAAGAAAGAAAUAAUCCAUGGACUUAAAAUCGCAUUUGGAUUUUAACGUUUGAAAGUUCCAUCGCAUUCUGAUUUGUAGUUUUUCUUGUGGUUGCG